rnacentral:rRNA from 1 species
UAGAUUGACGGGGCCGCACAAGCGGUGGAGCAUGUGGUUUAAUUCGACGCAACGCGAAGAACCUUACCUGGGCUUGACAUCCCGAUCGUACCUGCUGGAAACAGCGGGGUCAGUUCGGCUGGAUCGGAGACAGGUGCUGCAUGGCUGUCGUCAGCUCGUGUCGUGAGAUGUUGGGUUAAGUCCCGCAACGAGCGCAACCCUUGUCCUUAGUUGCCAUCAUUUAGUUUGGGCACUCUAAGGAGACUGCCGGUGUUAAACCGGGGAAGGUGGGGAUGACGUCAAGUCCUCAUGGCCCUUAUGUCCAGGGCUACACACGUGCUACAAUGGCCGGUACAAAGGGCAGCAACACAGCGAUGUGAAGCGAAUCCCGAAAAGCCGGUCUCAGUCCGGAUUGGAGUCUGCAACUCGACUCCAUGAAGUUGGAAUCGCUAGUAAUCGCGGAUCAGCACGCCGCGGUGAAUACGUUCCCGGGCCUU